rnacentral:lncRNA from 1 species
GAUGGUGAGGAGCUCCCCCGUCCUGUGAAUGUAGAUGCAGUCAAGAAAUACUUCACCUAGAAAAAAUAAAAGAACAACUCGUUAAGUUUAAAACCCAAAAGGGUGACUUAGGCAAAAAUGAGCAUCUUGGUGGAUUGAAAACCCGAAAGGGCGGUCCAGGAAAAAAUUAGAGACAUAAAUAGAAAAUAAUCAUCCCGAUAGAUUGAGACCUGAAAGGGCAAUCUGGGAAAAAGUUAGGAAUUAUGGAAAGUAAUUGCAUUAGG